rnacentral:rRNA from 1 species
CAGUCGCCACGGUAAUACGUAGGUGGCGAGCGUUGUCCGGAAUUAUUGGGCGUAAAGGGCUCGCAGGUGGGUUCUUAAGUCUGAUGUGAAAGCCCCCGGCUCAACCGGGGAGGGUCAUUGGAAACUGGGAAACUUGAGUGCAGAAGAGGAGAGUGGAAUUCCACGUGUAGCGGUGAAAUGCGUAGAGAUGUGGAGGAACACCAGUGGCGAAGGCGACUCUCUGGUCUGUAACUGACGCUGAGGAGCGAAAGCGUGGGGAGCGAACAGGAUUAGAUACCCUGUAGUCCCUGUCUCUUAUACC